UACGUAGGUGGCAAGCGUUACUCGGAAUCACUAGGCGUAAAGCGCAGGUAGGCGGUUUGGUAAGUCUUUUGUGAAAGCUCCUGGCUCAACUGGGAGAGGUCAAAGGAAACUACCAGGCUAGAGUGUGGUAGGGGAUACUGGAAUUCCUGGUGUAGCGGUGAAAUGCGUAGAUAUCUGGAGGAACACCGGUGGCGAAGGCGGCAUCCUGGACCGACACUGACGCUGAGGAGCGAAAGCCAGGGGAGCAAACGGG
rnacentral:rRNA from 1 species